rnacentral:rRNA from 1 species
UACGGGGGGGGCAAGCGUUGUUCGGAAUUACUGGGCGUAAAGGGCGCGUAGGCGGCCUGCUAAGUCGGAUGUGAAAUCCCUCGGCUCAACCGAGGAACUGCAUCCGAUACUGUCGGGCUUGAAUCCGGGAGAGGGAUGUGGAAUUCCAGGUGUAGCGGUGAAAUGCGUAGAUAUGCGGAGGAACACCGAUGGCGAAGGCAAUCCCCUGGGCCUGCACUGACGCUCAUGCACGAAAGCGUGGGGAGCAAACAGG